UACGGAGGGUGCAAGCGUUAUCCGGAUUCACUGGGUUUAAAGGGAGCGUAGGUGGGCUGGUAAGUCAGUGGUGAAAUCUCCGAGCUCAACUCGGAAACUGCCCUGGAUACUAUUGGUCUUGAAUUAUGUUGAGGUUGGCGGAAUAUAACAUGUAGCGGUGAAAUGCAUAGAUAUGUUAUAGAACACCGAUUGCGAAGGCAGCUAACUAAGCAUAUAUUGACGCUGAGGCACGAAAGCGUGGGGAUCAAACAGG
rnacentral:rRNA from 1 species